rnacentral:lncRNA from 1 species
UUUAUACUGACCGGGAGCCUCACAUAUCAUGAAAUUCAGUCUCAACUGAAUCGUCAUCAAACAGCCAACCAUAGGCAUAACACAGACUAUCAAUUAAAACUGAUAUUCCAUAAUAGUGAGGACCGUAGUAUGGAUCGAAGGUCAGAUGUUUUCUGAUACACAAGAUCCUCAGUUGAGGCAGGUGUAGAGCAUACUUGCAUCUAUGUGGGGAUGACUAUCAAUUAAAACUGAUAUUCCAUAAUAGUGAGGACCGUAGUAUGGAUCGAAGGUCAGAUGUUUUCUGAUACACAAGAUCCUCAGUUGAGGCAGGUGUAGAGCAUACUUGCAUCUAUGUGGGGAUUAUGAUAUGAAUAUAGUAACUAAAGCUUUUAGGGAGAAAGAAAGGAUAUUUAGAAUAUAGUUGUUCUUGAACACACAAAGAGUUUUUAUUUGUG